GUUUUACUCAUGUUGGUACUUGGUAGGCAUCGUUUUACUAAGACAACUCCUACUCUUUUAUAGCUAUAUAUUAACAUUUUACAUAGUGCUUUUACUUCCAUAGGCUGUAAAAAUAUGAAUUGUAUAAUAUUCACUAAUGUUAAAAUAAAAAUCCUAAGUGAUAAGAAAGUGUUGUGGGGUUUUUUUCUUUUAAUUGGGAGCAUUUUUACUUUUUUAGUAACUCAUGAAAUAAUUGUGUGUCCUGCAAUCAGUCACAUCUUAUAUUCUGUGAAAUACUGUAUGACAAAAAACAAUGCAAAGAUAUAAUUUUCUCUAUCUUUUUUUUUAAAGAUUUUAUUUAUUUAUUUGGCAGAGAGAGAUCACAAGUAGGCAGAGAGGCAGGCAGAGAGAGAGAGAAGGAAGCAGGCUCCCCUCUGAACAGAGAGCCCGAUGUAGGACUCGAUCCCAGGAUCCCGAGAUCAUGACCUGAGCCAAAGGCAGAGGCUUAACCCACUGAGCCACCCAGGCGCCCCCUCUAUCUUUAUAAUUAUCACUAGAUCACAAUCAGUAUUUUUGGCAGACAUCUUAAAAACAGAGGAAUAUACCUACAAUUGUGACUAUGGGCACAUAAAUAUACAAUGCUGAGAGGAAAUAAAAACAUUAUUUGAAAGUUUUCUGGAAAAGAUAAAUUUUGUCCAGUGUUGUAAAGGAAGAGAAGGACAAGCAAUUAUGGAAAACAGGUUAGAGAAAGUAAAAGAAUGGGGAAGGGAUCUGAAUGAGGAAAGAUUUUUACAGUUGCGAUUGAUUAGGGGCGCCUGGGUGGCUCAGUCAGUUAAGUGGUUAAGCAUCUGCCUUCAGCUCAGGUCAUGAUCCCAGGGUCCUGGGAUCGAGACCCUCAUCGAGCUCUCUCUCUCUCUCUCUCCUCCCUGUCAAAUAAAUAAAAAAAUUUAAAAUAUAAAAUGGACAGUUUUUAGAAAAAUAAAGACAUGCGAGUUAAAUCAACAAUAACAAUAUAUCCUUUCCCAUAUCAGUCAGAAUAGCUAGACUGGUUUGGAAUUCACGGUGUUGGUUAAGGGUGUGUGGCAAUUACUGGGGAGACCAUACAUUUGGGUACAUCUUUGGAGGGCAAUAUAUAGAAAUAACUCAAAGUUCUGACCUAGAAUUUUACUUCUGGGAUUGUAAUAUCCCAAUACAUGUAUUGAUAAAUUUGCAUACCAACAAAUAUAUCUACAAAAUGACACUGCAUGUAACUAUGAAAAGAAUGAAGUCCACUUAUGCUGAUCUGACAUGAUCCGCAAGAUAUUUUUACAGGAGCACAGCAAGGUACAGAAGAAUCUACAAUAUGCUGUUUUAGUUCCAAACACACUUGCAUUGCAUAGAAUUAUAUUUUAAUGUAUCUUUAUCAAAGUUAUAUGUACGUAUUUCUGAAAAUCAAAGAGCUCUAGAGGGUUCAAAUAAAACCAGCAUCUCUCUUCCCCUCAACCCUCAUUUCUGCUUCUCAGAGGCCAUGUCACUUUCUAAACUUGUAGCAGUUUCUCUUGGUACUGCCUAUUUCAGGAUAAUAUGUUACAUAGAUAUUGAUUGAUUUAAUUUUUUAGAUUACGGACCGUUGACUUCCUACACAGGAAGAUGGGGAUUUGGUUGUCUUACACAAUCCCCCUCCAAGAUGGACAUUUCCCCUUCCCCAUCCUUUUAAUAUAGUUUGACUGUAUUUUUAGUGAAAUCAAUUAUGGCAUCAUCAAUUAUUAUACUUCCUUUCUUCUAUAUCUUCUUACUUUCAUUGGUUAAAAUUUUCACCUUUUCUGUUUGCUUAAUUUUUUGUGGACUUCUCAUGUAUUACACAUCACUAAUUCAUCCCCAGACUCCUCUCCAGAACUAAACAUCAGUUAAUAUGUAAGUUUUUAAUCCUAGUUUUAGAAAUGCCUCCUGGGGCUCUCGUUCCAUCUACAGGGGUUGUUCUCUAGUCCUGGUGCAGAAUGUCCGCUGGUGUGGGGGGAGUAGUGUUGCAGGAGGGAGCUUGACACCUAAAGGCUUUAUAAACAGAAUUUCAGUCCAUCCUAUUAACAGUGCCAGCUGCAGAGGUAUCUGGAUCCUUCCAUUCUUAAGUGUUUCAGGAACUCUGCAGGGUCAAUCUGCCUCUCUCAGGGUGUCUUUCUUUUGCAGGCAUUUAAGUUCUUAAUAAUUACUGCUGGUCCUGAGAUUUGAAAAUUUUGUGCUUAUAUUCUUGUCUCUGAGAAAGAAAGCCAUGCUUUUCUCUCAUUUUGUAUGGUUUCAAGAGGGAAUGAGAAAAAUUUGUGUCCAAAACAACAUAUUUAACCUCCAUACUUAGAAUCUAUCUGGAAGUACCCAUAUGAAACUGAACACGGUCACCUGCGGGGAUGGGGCCGUAGGUCUAUUUAAUGAAGGGGACCAUAGCUCAUAUAUUUAAUGAGCUGUUAUUGGCUGUUUUGGUGUUUUUACCAUAUGUUUGCUUAUUUUUUUCAAGAAAAGCACAUUUUUAAAACUCAGGAUCUCAGUUCAGAAAAAGUCAGAAUAAAUCAUGAAGGUCAGGCGCUGGGUAGAUUUAUUCACCAAAUCCAGAGGAGUCAGGUAACUUCUUGAAGUGGACAGAGGUGGUUUAAGAAAAGAAAAAAUGUAAUGGUGAUUGUGAAUUUAUGGAACAUCAUAUAUUUCAGCUUGGAUGGCAGGGAUAGGAAAGGGAUUAAUUGAUAAAGGAAUGAUGGUAGAAAUAAAUCAGUAGAUUUAAAAAUUGAAAACAGUGGCUAUACUCUUACAAAACACAUUUUGGUGAUGUUUACCAUAAGAGACAAAGAACUAAACUUGAUUAUUAGUCUAAUUCAGUAUGGCACUUUCAGUCCCAUGUUUUCAACGAUGAAGCAAGUAGAUUAGUCUAGCAGAUUUUAAAUUGAGAUGAAAUGAGUUUAGGAAUGAAAAACAAUAAACAUUUGUCAUCUAUGGCAUAUAAUGCUUUACUCUUUGCAAGCUCUAGGUGUUAUAAGAGUUAAAGAUUCAAGCUGGAAAAUCUACCAAAAAAAAAAAAAAACCCACUGAAAAUCUAUACUUUUUUAUGUCAUUGCUCUUUGGUACUAAGAGGUUCUCAAGAAGGUGAGUAUCUUAUGUACCGUUUGUGCUGUAAUAUUUUAUUACAGUGAGUGUACAGAAGAUUAGCUGUUUCAAAGAUUCGUUUGAAAUCAGAUUGCACAUCAAAACUGCAUUGUGCCCUGCUAAGUAAGCAAAUUUAAGAAAGAGGAGAAGGUGAUGUCAAGACUUAUUGCAAAAUGAACAAAUAAAGGAAAAAGAUUUGCUUGGUGUUUAGCCUAUUAAGGCAUAGCCAAAUGUCAGUCUUCAUUUAUCAACUUAAAUAUGUUUUUCUAAAACUUACAAAGAUUCAGUCUAUGGUAAGUAUCCUUUAGCUGCUAUUUGGCCUUGAGAAAUUAAGCCACACAAAAGUACUAACUAGAUUAUACUAAGAACUCAAUUUCUCAGUGAUUAUUUACCACAUAAAUAUGUACAUUAGUAAUUCAGAUACAGAUAUUUGUUGACUUCUUUGUUAUUUUUCUGAUUAUAAAAUUAACACGUGUUUUUGUUCCCCAAGACUUGAGAUUUUAGGUCACAGAUAAACUUUUCUUCCACAAUAGUUAUACCACCAAAAAUACAACACACAGCAUUUCCAGUCUCCAGGGAUUUCUCCCUUCCAAAAAGAAGAGGCAAAAAUAAACUUUUAAAAAUCCAUCAGUUGAACCUCAGGGAGCCAGGAUGAAUACGAGCUAGCUUGCAGCCUGAACUGUACUUGCUGGAAAUAACCAGGAACAUAGGGAAGGAUCCCAGGCUGGAGCUACGGAGUUUGUAGGGGCUUGAAACUAGCAGAAUGGGGGGGCCUGCAGGCUUUGUGAAGGGGUAGGAUUGCCCUGAGGCCAGAAUUCUCUACUGACAGCAUCUGAGCAGACUGAACCUUGAAACAGCAGUCAGGAGGAGAACCUGAAUCUUAGACCCCCCCUUCUGAGCUAAAAUCUUCAAGAAGGUCCUGAAGGGUCCUGAGACAACUAAACACACACUGAGAGAAAAACUGGCUAAAGCAGAAGAAACCAUCCAAUGAGAUGCUCAGAGAUUACAGACAAGCAUAACGUCGUAAAGACUACCAAAACUAGAUAAAGCCAGCCACUAAGAGUGAGAAUGAACAGACAGCAAAUCAGACCCCAAAGAAUCAGAUGCUGGGACUAAAUACAGAAUGCACAAGAGCUACGUAUGGAAGAAACUAUGGAAUGACAAAAACAGUUUAAAAAAAUAAACCCAUUGGGAUUAAACAGAUACACUUACCAGAUCGAAUUUCUAGAAAUAAAAUAUUUAAUUGCUGAAAUCAAAACCUCAAUUAAGAAUUGUGGGUCCAGCCAUGACUGAAACUGGUAGUAGACAUAUCCUUCUAUCAUAAACUACAACAGUGUCCAAUAAACACUUCAGGGCUUUGAUCCUUGAGAGAAAGGUACCAGUGUGCUGACCUCUGUAUUCCCUCACUUUCUUGCCCUGGGAACACUUUCCAAACUGCAGUAGAGGAAUGUGAAGCCCAAACACAAAAGAAAAGUUGCGUGAGGUGGAAGAAAUGAAACCGGAGUUGAGACGGCUCAGGUAGUGGGAAUCUGUGGGACAGAGGACCAGAGAAGAGGGUGCUGUGCAGAGGAGGUGCUUCAGAAACCUGCAGAGGGAAACUGAAGUCUUUGAAUACUCAGAGCACAUAAGCCAGUCAAGACUUUAGGACACAUGGCAGAAAGCAGUGACUGGAGGUCACACAGCCCUGGGAUAUAUCUGAGUUCAAAUCAGUCAGGGUGUGAAGGCCCCACUGAACAACCCAAGAAGUGAGACGCCCGAAUAGGAAGGCUACAAUAGAGUAAGAGUGAUUCUAGACCCAUCCCAAUAAAACCCAAAAUAAAUCUAUAGCAGGCACAAGCUGAUCUGCCCAUAUAGUAACCACCAACCAGAUACAAACUUUAAGGGCGCUUAGAAAUACGUUGGAGAGUUCAAAGAAAAAGAUUCUUUGUAGAGGGCUCAGCUUGGACUCACCAGAUGGUGAAGAUACUGAGCUGUUUCUUAUGUGGGACUUGCUGAAAUCUCUGGGGUCCCGGGGAAGACCGUCUAAAUAAAGAUUGAGUUCUUCACCAUCUCAGAGUCCUCUGUGAGCUUUGGAGCUCGUCAGGUGCCAGGACAGCUGCUGGGGGCUGGGCACAGCUCGAACCAGGAUCUGGGGCAGCAGCCUUCUGCAGGGGUCCAGCAGACUUACAGGUGGCUCUGGAAUUCCAGGAUGGAAGGUGGGAUGUAGGAGCAGCGAUCCGGGCUGGGGCAGAGUCCCAUGCUAUCUGGGAAUCCCAGACAUACCACAGCUGCCUGAACUGAGCGCUGGUGAAGGCAGGCAGCCACCAAAUCCCAGAGGAAGCUGUAGCCUUCAGGAACUUAGCACUAGAGAGACCAUGCAGAGAACAGGCUGGGGGCAAAGUGUCUCUGGAAGCCUAGAGAGUGAGCCAUACCAGAACCGGGAAGAGAAAAAUCCCUUCCUCCUCCAGGGUCCUUCUAGGACCCUCCUCUGACAAUGUUUAACACCAGGCUGGCUGGCAAAUGAGAAACAUUUACAAAAAUCGAUCUUUGCCAUUACAGGGUAAGGCAAAAAGGGUGAAUUUGAAGCUAAAAGGAAAUUGAUAAGGACCAUGAUCCACCCCUUUGACCCCUCAGCUUUCCAUGCAAUGUCUACACACUCGGAAAUGCCAGACAACAAUGUGACGACUCUAUAAGAGCCCAACAAUCACCGGAUACACCAUGGUGGCGAUGUCAGUUACCCUUCAAAAUCUGCUGAAUAUUCCGUUGCCUGAUGAUUAAACUGUAAAAUUAACUUCUAACAAUCUGUAUAGAAAUAUUUUUAAUGGAAAAGAAAGAGAUGAUGGAUAUUGUUUACAUAUACCGGCAAGCACAUAUGAUAUGAAGCAAAAGGAAGGGGCGCCUGGGUGGCUCAGUGGGUUAAGCGUCUGCCUUCAGCUCAGGUCAUGGUCCCAGGGUCCUGGAAUCAGAUCCCAGUCAGGCUCCCUGCUCAGUGGCGGGGUCUGCUUCUCCCUCUGCCUGAGGCUCCCCUUGCUUAUGCUCUCUCACUUUCUCUGUCAAAAAAAUAAACUCUUUAAAAAAAAGCAAAAGGAAAAUAUGAAAAGUAACUAUAACCAUUUCUGUAACUGGUCACAAGGCCCUAAUUGUUGUCUAUGGCUUCCUUUUUCCACCAUCCAUUCUUUAUUUAUCCAACUUCAGCCAGAAGAAUUAGUUGAUCAGGACUUUUUACCUGGUAAAGUAAUCUAAACCUUCAUUCCUGAAAGGGCUCAGUCAGUCAUCCUGCCUUUUUAUUGGUCGCUGUGGUUUUCCCUGAGCUUUUAGUAUGGGACAUGGAGUUCCAGAAACCUACAAAAUAUCCUGGGUUACAGUCCUUCUUGCCUCUAAUGAGUAGCAGAACCCAAUUUUUUCUUGGUAUUAGGGACCAAUCACACGUAGGAGGACAACCCAUCUUUCUGCCUGAUUUUUUUUUAAAGAUCUUUAUUUACUUAUUUAUUUGAGAGAGAGAGAGAGAGAAAGAGAAAGAGCGGGUGAGCCAGGGCUGGGGUCAGAGGGGAAGAGAGAGAAUCGUCAAGCAGACUCUUCUGCUCAGUGUGGAGUUCAGCUCAGGGCUCGAUCCCAGGACCCUGAGAUCAUGACCUGAGCCAAAAUCAAGAAUCAGGCACUUAAAUGACUGAGCCACCCAGGCACCCCUCCACCAUUGCUUUUAAACUCAGAAAUUCCUGUCCCAAUUUGAUAACUAUCUUGUCAUUUAUUUUUAUGGUUUGUAUUUUCUUUACAUUUAACUAAAAAAAUUCACCUAGGAUUAAUUUUGUUAAAUGGUUAAAAAAAAAAAAUGAGGACCUAACUCUAGAUCUCCCUACAAAUACCUAGCCAAUUUAUCUAGUACUAUUUGUAGAGUAAUUCUUUCCUUUUGCCACAUAAUACAAAGUGAAUUGUCUUUUAAAUAUUAUUAUAUACCUAAAUAUGUUUUAAGAUAUUAUUCUCUUUUGAACUGACUUUCCUUAUAACCAUAUUGUUUUAAUUAUCAUAACUUCACAAUGUUUUCAUAUUCCAUAAGACUAGCUUACCUCCCCCUACAAAAGCCACACUUAAGUUUCUCUUCUUUCCAAAAAUGUUAACUAUUCUUACUUGUAUGUCCUUUCAGAUGAACUUUACAAUUGUCUUACCAUCUCUCAUCCCCAGUGAAAUCACUUCAAAAAUCACAAAAUAAUUUCAGAAGAAAUGACGCUAUACUAGUCAGGUUCUGCACAGAAACAGAACCAAUAGGAUGUACCUGUAUACAGAAAGAGAUUUACGAGAAGAAAUUGGCUCACAAGAAUUUGAAGACUGACAAGUCCCAUAUCUGCAGGGUGAGUCAGCAAGCUGGAGACCCAGGAGAGCUGAUGACUUAGCUCUGGUCCUGAAGCCGGCAGGCUCAAGAGCCACUGCUUCAGUUCAAAGGCCGUAAGGCAAAAGGGAUUCUCUUAAGGAAGGCAUUCUUUUGUUUUAGUCAGGCAUUCAACUGACUGGAUGAGACCCACCACAUUAGAGAGGGAAAUCUGCUUUACUUAGCCUGCCAAGUUAAAUGUUAAUCUUACCCAAAACAGCUCCACAGAAACACCCCGAGCAACAAUGGACCAAAUAUCUGGAUACUCCAUGGCCCAGUCAAGUUGACAAAAAAUUAGCUAACAUAACACCUUCAUAAUAUUUUUAGCCCAUCCAGGAACAAUUAUCUCAGUAAUUUUUCUUCAAAAUGUAUGGCUUUCAUUGUCUAGGUCAUACUACUUCUGAUGAGGUCUUUUCUAGAACCUAUGUACUUUUUGUUGUUUCUAAGAAUGGGAAUUUUUCCCAUUGGAUUUUCUACCUGAUUAUUGUUGGUACAUAGAAAAACAGUCAAUUACUCACCUACUUACCUAAAUUCUUAACAGUCCCAACAUUUUUUUCUUACUGAUUCUCUUGAGUUUUCUGGUAGUAAAUCAUAUUAUAUGGAAAUGAUGGCAAGUGUGUCUUUGCCCAUUCCUAUAGUAUUGCUCUUAUUUCUAUUUCCAGUAUUAUUUCACAGAUUAUAGUUCACAGGACAAUGUAAAAUUCUAAUAAAGAUAGCAGAAAUCUUGGGGCGCCUGGGUGGUUCAGUGGGUUAAGCCGCUGCCUUCGGCUCAGGUCAUGAUCUCAGGGUCCUGGGAUCAAGUCCUGCAUCGGGCUCUCUGCUGGGCAGGGAGCCUGCUUCCCUCUCUCUCUCUCUCUCUCUCUCUCUCUGCCUGCCUCUCCAUCUACUUGUCAUUUCUCUCUGUCAAAUAAAUAAAUAAAAUCUUUAAAAAAAAAAAAGAUAGCAGAAAUCUUGAUUCCCUGUUUAAUAAGGUCAUCUCUAGUGUUUUCAAUGAAGCAUAAUAUUUUCCUGUUGAUUUGAGAUAAAUACUUGAUCUUGUACUCUUUAUUUCCUGGAUUUAUAGGAGUCUGAGAAAAGGAAUGAGAGUUGAGUCAUCUCAAAUGCCUUUUCAGCUUCCACUGAUGAUGACACAUUUUUCCAAUUUGACCUCCAGAUGUGCUAUAUCUGCUUUAUAUGCUUCCACAUAUUAAAUUAUUCUACAUUACUGUAAUAGAGCCUGAUCACAGUAGACCAUUCUUUUCACAUCAUCGUCUUAGACAAGCUGAGUCCCAGAUAUCAUUACUCAUCUCCAAAUUGGAGGCUAAAAAUUAUAUCUGCCCCAUGUUACAGGGAUUAGAUGAGAUAAUUUAUAUAAAGUAAACUUAAUUGCAGUACUUAAUUAGCACAAUGUCUGGCUCCUAGGUACAUUCAGCUCGCAGUACCAUUAUUAUUGUUAUUAACCAAAAAGACUGAAUAUGGUUUGAGUGGGGAAGACUGUAUUUCCUGUGGGAAUUUUUAUAUGCAUGAGUGAGAUGUUUCUUAAAUUUCCUUAAAGAAAAUAUAAAUCAUGAGAAGGAACAAUGAAAAGUUAUAUUCUGAAAAAGAAUCUGAGGGUUUUGGAGGGGUGGGGAAUGGGACGUUGGGUGAGCCUGGUGGUGGGUAUUAUGGAGGGCACAUAUUGCAUGGAGCACUGGGUGUGGUACAUAAACAAUGAAUUCUGGAACACUGAAAAGAAAUUUUAAAAAAUAAAAAAUUUUAAAAAGUUAUUUUCAGUGUAUUUUAAAACUAUGUUGUUAGUUUACUCCUACCACCUUGCAGGCUAACUAACUCAUUCAUAGUAUUUCUGGGCAGCGCUGGCCUCAUGGUCAUGUGAUCAACAUAGCUGCACAAAACCCAGGACAACUCGAGGGCCCCACGAUUGGGGUCUAAUGGUCUCUAGUUACCAUCUUCAAUUUUUUAAUAAUGUCACUUUGAAGUUUUGUUUUACAGGUGAAAUCUCUGGGACAAUGGAGAUUGUGCAGGGGCACUGAAGUCGCAGCUCACACACAGUUCUCCUUCCCACCCGCUCCGCACCUCCCCGGGCUAGGUUCUUGGCUAUCCUCUGCCAGCCCAGCCACACCCUCCCCAGCCCUGCCCAAGUGUUUGCUUCCAACCUCCAGCCCCCUGGCAGGGACCUGGGUGCAGGUAUGCAUAGGAAUGGGGCGGGGCACCCACAUCCCACUGCAUUUGAGGGCCUAGGUUGGCGGAGGUCAUCCUGCCCUAAGCUGGCAGUGCCCUGAUGCAUCAUUGGUAGCCAGCCGGAGAUCACAGCUCGGUGGAGACCAGCCUUUCACCCACUCCUAAUCCCAGUACUUAGACCUUUCUAACUCAGAGCUUGCAGUACCCUCGGGAGUGGCCCAUGCAUGUGAGCUGGAGCACCAGGCCUGCGGAAAGCCGAGAUGUCUGCCUGAAGUUCACAGGGGAGCUCUCCACCUGCAGCGUGGUGGUCUAUCCCGACAGCUGCCGGCGGGAGCCCGCGGAGCAGCGUGACGCCUGCGCAGAUGCAACCCCGGGAGUCUUGGGAUCGGGUCCCAGCGCAGCAACGGAGACACGUGCUCACCUUGCCAGCGUCCACAUGCGUGAUCCCUGAAGGAGUGUGAUACCUGCUUCGUGCUAAAGGAGCCCUCUCUCUUCCUCCACCACCUUCCUGCGUCUAACUGGUAUACGCUCUUCCGGCCAAGGUAUAUAGGUACCCAACAGAAUCAACAGGAAGCCUGAAGAAUGAAGCUUGAGCUAGCACAAUGAAUCUGAUGCAUGGCCAAGAUCCUGGCAUCAACAACACUCUGAGGAGGACACCAUUACUGGCCUUGACAGCACUGGACCCUUGCCACCAUGCUGCAGGAUUCUGUUGCCCUUGGUCUGCUCGCCAUUGACCUUUCGACUCCAUAAUGGCUACUUCAAAUAAUUUCUCACUGAACUUUUGUCAUGGUGUCACUCCUUAAAGAUACUGCCAGUCCAUGGAGUAGAAUUAUUUACCUAAUUUAGGGUUCAUAGACCUUGAGUUCUUCCCAUUUGGGGACCAGGAAGGGGGUGCUGAUGUAGGCCAACAUGCAUUUAAAUGAAAAGUUCCGGUUUUAUUUCUAACAAAAUUAACCUUCGUGCAAGCUAUGAAGAAGUGGAAGUAGAAUCAUACCAAAUAGCAUUUGCUAUUUUUCUUAAUCUUUUUCAAUUUUCUGAAUAUGUUUUUUUAUUAAUUAAUCACUAGCCACUAAAGUAUAACAUAAAUUGUAUAAUUAUAAUUAGUUAUAAUUAUAUAAAAUUGUUCAUGAAGUUAAAUUCAUAAUUGCCUUGGUUAAGCUAAUGGUUGAUGCUAUUGAAAUCUCUGAAAGGAAGUCUGAGCCGCACUGCUUGGUGUGCGCCCGCCAUCUAGUGGCAAGACACGUUAAUACCACCAUAGAGAUCCUAGGGGGCUUCAGAGGCCAACUUCGCCAGAGACAGUUUUUCGCACUUUAUAAUUUUCCCAGUGUGUUACCCAAUCAACCACACAUUUCUUAUCUUUGGAAUGAUCUUCCAUUACAUUCAAUUACAUUUCAUGUUAACUGCAACCUAUAAUGUGAGGCAAAGGGUAUCUUAGCAUCACCUGUAACCACAUUCCCUAAACCAGUUCCCUAAGACUGUUUUUAUUUUACGUAUGUCCAGAAACAAUAUGUGGUUUGGGCAUGCUAUUAUUCUCCCACCAAGAAUAUGUUGGCCACUAUAAUAAAAGUGCAAAUUAAUACAAGA